rnacentral:rRNA from 1 species
ACUCCUACGGGAGGCAGCAGUGGGGAAUAUUGGACAAUGGGCGCAAGCCUGAUCCAGCCAUGCCGCGUGAGUGAUGAAGGCCUUAGGGUUGUAAAGCUCUUUUAUCCGGGACGAUAAUGACUGUACCAGAGGAAUAAGCCCCGGCUAACUUCGUGCCAGCAGCCGCGGUAAU